AGUUCGACACUGACAGCUUAAGUAUCAGGAGGAAGGCGGAUAUUUGAGAUGUGAGUGUUGGACUUAACUUAGCGGCGGACGGGUGAGUAACGCGUGGGCAACCUACCUUUUACAGGGGGAUAACACAGGGAAACCUGAGCUAAUACCGCAUAAAAUCACAAUACGGCCUCGUAUAAUGAUCAAAGGAGCAAUCCGGUAAAAGAUGGGCCCGCGUCCAAUUAGCUAGUUGGUGGGGUAAAGGCCUACCAAGGCGACGAUUGGUAGCCGAACUGAGAGGUUGAUCGGCCACAUUGGGACUGAGACACGGCCCAGACUCCUACGGGAGGCAGCAGUGGGGAAUAUUGCGCAAUGGGGGGAACCCUGACGCAGCAACGCCGCGUGAAGGAUGAAGGUUUUCGGAUUGUAAACUUCUUUGAUGAGGGACGAAACAAAUGACGGUACCUCAAGGACAAGCCACGGCUAACUACGUGCCAGCAGCCGCGGUAAUACGUAGGUGGCGAGCGUUGUCCGGAAUUACUGGGUGUAAAGGGCGUGUAGGGCGGGGAUGCAAGUCAGAUGUGAAAAUACCGAGGCUUAACUUCGGGGGGUGCAUCUGAAACUGUAUUUCUUGAGUGUC
rnacentral:rRNA from 1 species